GGAAAGGUGGUAGAGUGGUCGAUUACAGCGGUCUUGAAAACCGCCGUACCGCAAGGUACCGGGGGUUCGAAUCCCUCCCUUUCCG
rnacentral:tRNA from 2 species